AAUAGAUACCCUGGUAGUCCACGCCGUAAACGGUGGGCACUAGGUGUGGGCAGCAUUCCCACGUUGUCCGUGCCGUAGCUAACGCAUUAAGUGCCCCCGCCUGGGGAGUACGGCCGCAAGGCUAAAACUCAAAGGAAUUGACGGGGAGCCCGCACAAGCGGCGGAGCAUGUGGCUUAAUUCGACGCAACGCGAAGAACCUUACCAAGGCUUGACAUACACCGGAAACAUCCAGAGAUGGGUGCCCCCUUGUGGUCGGUGUACAGGUGGUGCAUGGCUGUCGUCAGCUCGUGUCGUGAGAUGUUGGGUUAAGUCCCGCAACGAGCGCAACCCUUGUCCCGUGUUGCCAGCAGGCCCUUGUGGUGCUGGGGACUCACGGGAGACCGCCGGGGUCAACUCGGAGGAAGGUGGGGACGACGUCAAGUCAUCAUGCCCCUUAUGUCUUGGGCUGCACACGUGCUACAAUGGCCGGUACAAAGAGCUGCGAUACCGUGAGGUGGAGCGAAUCUCAAAAAGCCGGUCUCAGUUCGGAUUGGGGU
rnacentral:rRNA from 1 species